rnacentral:rRNA from 1 species
GACGAACGCUGGCGGCGUGCUUAACACAUGCAAGUCGAACGGAAAGGCCCUGCUUUUGUGGGGUGCUCGAGUGGCGAACGGGUGAGUAACACGUGAGUAACCUGCCCUUGACUUUGGGAUAACUUCAGGAAACUGGGGCUAAUACCGGAUAGGAGCUCCUGCUGCAUGGUGGGGGUUGGAAAGUUUCGGCGGUUGGGGAUGGACUCGCGGCUUAUCAGCUUGUUGGUGGGGUAGUGGCUUACCAAGGCUUUGACGAGUAGCCGGCCUGAGAGGGUGACCGGCCACAUUGGGACUGCGAUACGGACCAGAAUCCUACGGGAGGCAGCAGGGGGGAAUAUUGCGCAAUGGGCGGAAGCCUGAUGCAGCAGCGCCGCGUGCGGGAUGACGGCCUUCGGGUUGUAAACCGAUUUCGCCUGUGACGAAGCGUGAGUGACGGUAAUGGGUAAAGAAGCACCGGCUAACUACGUG